GGGAAGGGAUUUGCUAGUGGCCUUUAACUACCUGAAGGGGGGGUUCCGAAGAGAAUGAAACUAGACUGUUCUCAGUGGUGGCAGAUGAGAGAACAAGGAGCAAUGGUCCCAAGUUGCCGCAAGGGAGGCUUAGGUUGGAUAUGAGGACAAGACUU